UCUCUCAUCGUAUAGCGGUAGCGUAUCUACACAAAAUAUCCCAAAGGUGCUGAUGGUAUGUGUGUUCUGGGUUCGAAUCCCAGUGAGAGAU